rnacentral:rRNA from 1 species
AUCGAACGCUGGCGGCAUGCUUUACACAUGCAAGUCGAACGGUAACAGGCCGCAAGGUGCUGACGAGUGGCGAACGGGUGAGUAAUGCAUCGGAACGUGCCCAGUCGUGGGGGAUAACGCAGCGAAAGCUGCGCUAAUACCGCAUACGAUCUCUGGAUGAAAGCGGGGGACCGAAAGGCCUCGCGCGAUUGGAGGGGCCGAUGGCAGAGUAGGUAGUUGGUGGGGUAAAGGCCCACCAAGCCAACGAUCUGUAGCUGGUCUGAGCGGACGACCAGCCACACUGGGACUGAGACACGGCCCAGACUCCUACGGGAGGCAGCAGUGGGGAAUUUUGGACAAUGGGCGCAAGCCUGAUCCAGCAAUGCCGCGUGCAGGAAGAAGGCCUUCGGGUUGUAAACUGCUUUUGGACGGAACGAAACGGUCCGGGUUAAUACCCUGGGCUAAUGACGGUACCGUAAGAAUAAGCACCGGCUAACUACGUGCCAGCAGCCGCCGCCGUAA